rnacentral:snRNA from 1 species
UUGUGUUUCGGCACAAAUGUUAAAAUUGGAAAAAUACAGAGAAGAUUAGCAAGGCCCCUGCGCAAGGAUGACACGCACAAUGGUUGUGUUUACGGUCGUGUUU